ACAUGCAAGUCGAACGCUGAAGCACCAGCUUGCUGGUGUGGAUGAGUGGCGAACGGGUGAGUAAUACGUGAGUAACCUGCCCUUGACUCUGGGAUAAGCCCGGGAAACUGGGUCUAAUACUGGAUGCUACAUGUCACCGCAUGGUGGUGUGUGGAAAGGGUUUACUGGUCUUGGAUGGGCUCACGGCCUAUCAGCUUGUUGGUGAGGUAAUGGCUCACCAAGGCGACGACGGGUAGCCGGCCUGAGAGGGUGACCGGCCACACUGGGACUGAGACACGGCCCAGACUCCUACGGGAGGCGGCAGUGGGGAAUAUUGCACAAUGGGCGAAAGCCUGAUGCAGCGACGCCGCGUGAGGGAUGACGGCCUUCGGGUUGUAAACCUCUUUCAGCAGGGAAGAAGCCACAAGUGACGGUACCUGCAGAAGAAGCGCCGGCUAACUACGUGCCAGCAGCCGCGGUAAUACGUAGGGCGCAAGCGUUGUCCGGAAUUAUUGGGCGUAAAGAGCUCGUAGGCGGUUUGUCGCGUCUGCUGUGAAAGCCCGGGGCUUAACCCCGGGUGUGCAGUGGGUACGGGCAGACUAGAGUGCAGUAGGGGAGACUGGAAUUCCUGGUGUAGCGGUGGAAUGCGCAGAUAUCAGGAGGAACACCGAUGGCGAAGGCAGGUCUCUGGGCUGUUACUGACGCUGAGGA
rnacentral:rRNA from 1 species